GCUGACAUAACAGGUCAGCCUGCCAGUGACUAAGUUAAACGGCCGCGGUACCCUAACCGUGCAAAGGUAGCGCAAUCACUUGUUCUUUAAAUGAGGACUAGUAUGAACGGCAUCACGAGGGUUAUGCUGUCUCCCCACUCUAUUCAGUGAAACUGAUCUCCCCGUGAAGAAGCGGGGAUAAAAAUAUAAGACGAGAAGACCCCAUGGAGCUUUAAACUCAGUAUCAACUGCUUUAUAAAUCAACCUAAUAUCUAUGCAACCCUGAUUACUAGUUUUCGGUUGGGGUGACCACGGAGCAUAAAAUAACCUCCACGACGAAAGGAAAUAAUAACCUAAAUUAAGAGUUACAACUCUAAAUAUCAACAAAUUGACUAAAUUGAUCCAAUAAAUUGAUCAACGAACCAAGUUACCCUGGGGAUAACAGCGCAAUCCAUUUCAAGAGCUCAUAUCGACAAAUGGGUUUACGACCUCGAUGUUGGAUCAGGGUAUCCCAGUGGCGCAGCCGCUACUAACGGUUCGUUUGUUCAACGAUUAAAACCCUACGUGAUCUGAGUCCAGACCGGAC
rnacentral:rRNA from 1 species